AAUUAAUAAAUAAUAUCGGAUGAGUAUUCGGUUAUAUAUAGUUGCAAAUUAUAUAUAAAAAGAGCAAAUCCUACUACAGGAGGGGUCCCACACCUUCCGCCCUAUUUUCUUUGCGAAGCGGAGCUGAUUCGAAAUGAGUUAGAUUUUAUUUUAUUUUUUUGCUCCCAACUCCCGACUUAUUCGGGACGAUUCGAGACGAAUGUAAAUUUUUGACGGAUCGAGACUGAUACGAGGAAAGUGAAGGAUAGGAACGGGAUCUCCACUAAUCCGGAUAUAUUUGCAUUUUUUAUUAAACUAAGAAGGGUGUAAUUUCAAAUAAAAAAAUAAAUAAAUUAUAGGGUGGUAUUUUAAAGAGAGAAAAAAAAUAAAAAAAAAAA
rnacentral:lncRNA from 1 species